GACGCUUCACAUUCUGUGAUAGUUGAUGCUGUAAAAGUUUCCAUAUUAUAGACUAGGUUCGAGGGACAAUGACUUGUAUGAGAUACUCGGUAGAUGGUUUUCACCAUAAAAACCAGGGAAAGCUUCUUGUUGUGAUGAUUUGUGUGGUGUUGCUAUCAAGCUCUUGUCAGGUCAUGCACUGGAGCACCCUUUUGAAGUUCUUUUCAAUGCAUGUCUUUUGUAGUAUGGCUUUUUACUUUGCUUUGCCUUUUUUUCAUAGUUAGUUAGAACAACCAGUUCUGUUUGGUGCCAUGCAGAGAAAGCCACUGUGAAAAAUCUAUUGCUUGAUGUCUACCUUGUUUAAUACAUAAUUCAAGAAAUGUUCAAAGCUUAAACAUAUUUUUACAGGUGUCAAAAACUAUUGACUUUGAAGUAACUCGUGGUCUUACAAAUGCACUGCUCGCUGCCAAGAAACCUGGCGAGGUUGGUUGACCUACUAAUGUAAAAUGCAUAAACAUGUUACUUGCAGUCUUCUUGCAGCAGUUGUACUUGCAGUCUUCUCUCGUGUCACUAUUUCCUUCACUUUCCUAAUAGUAUUAAUAAUUAUAUGCUUAUUAUAAUAUUGUAGCUUUGUUUUACUUAUACUUUCAUUCUUGUUUGAUAUAUUUAUUUAUUCAUUUAUUUGCCCCAUUAGGAAAUUCAUGACAAACUAUAUAGCAUGAGAAAAUACCAUAUGCCUGUCGUAAUCAAAAGUUUAUAUAAAUAUUAUUUAAUUAUUUAAACAGAUAUUAGCAAACUCUAGAAUUGUAAAUUACUUAAUAUCUAAAAGUACAUACCAAAUAAACUAAGUGACUAGUAUUUUUAUUUAUGCUUUUAUCAUGCAUAGUUGAUUAAACAUUAUGUUACUAAGAUCUGCAUUCUGUUUCUAUUAAUAAUUAAUUAUGUAUAAGUUGUAGAUGUAUUACUUUAAAUACUAUGUGAAGUAUUCUAUAUGCAUAGCUAAUAUAUACUUUGUUACAACGUGGACUUUGUGAGCAUUAUUACUUCAUAUUAGAAAAAGUGAAAAAGAUACAAAUAAAUAAAGAAUAAGUUUGACAAGAUCAAUAUAAUAUUUAGAUAAUAAUAGCAUAGGGGAGAGAUUACUUGGUCACAUGAGAGAAGAGAGAAAAAUUAAAUACAAAAAGAAAAGGGAGAAAAAAGAAAUACAAAUAUUGUUGACAUUGAUGUGGCACUUUUGUCCUAAACAAGUAUCUGACUGCACAGCUGCAAUUGUUGUGAAAUAGAUUCCUUCUUGCAUCUGUUCAACUCUGUCUUGCCUCAGAAACUGGUUAUCUAGACGAUAUGAAUCAGUCAGCAGGACAGUUUAGUGACAUCAAUGAUGACUGUGGGUCAUUGCUGAUGUUGCAAGUUUCACAAGUUAUAACAAUAACUGACUGAGUCGAAUACAAUUUUGGCAGUGACCUGCAGUGUACAUUUUUGCGGAGUAGGUAUUUUUCUUGCCCUUGCGUCUUGAAUGGCAGUGCUAUACUUUCCUUCUGCUCAAUGCAGGCUGUCCAAAUGCUUCUUCCAAUUCGUGAGAUGCUGAAUAAUGAGAAAAAUGUUCACAAUAAUUUUGAGGCAGAGAGCAGCAUAGUGGAGAAAAGCUCUCAAUUGGAUCCCAUUCAAGUAAGCAUCUUUCUCUACCUAUGAUGUGCGGUAUACUAAUCAGUUGGUGUACUAUUUUUUCAGACAUGCCUUGCGAGGUUGGUUGACCUACUAAUGUAAAAUGCAUAAACAUGUUACUUGCAGUCUUCUUGCAGCAGUUGUACUUGCAGUCUUCUCUCGUGUCACUAUUUCCUUCACUUUCCUAAUAGUAUUAAUAAUUAUAUGCUUAUUAUAAUAUUGUAGCUUUGUUUUACUUAUACUUUCAUUCUUGUUUGAUAUAUUUAUUUAUUCAUUUAUUUGCCCCAUUAGGAAAUUCAUGACAAACUAUAUAGCAUGAGAAAAUACCAUAUGCCUGUCGUAAUCAAAAGUUUAUAUAAAUAUUAUUUAAUUAUUUAAACAGAUAUUAGCAAACUCUAGAAUUGUAAAUUACUUAAUAUCUAAAAGUACAUACCAAAUAAACUAAGUGACUAGUAUUUUUAUUUAUGCUUUUAUCAUGCAUAGUUGAUUAAACAUUAUGUUACUAAGAUCUGCAUUCUGUUUCUAUUAAUAAUUAAUUAUGUAUAAGUUGUAGAUGUAUUACUUUAAAUACUAUGUGAAGUAUUCUAUAUGCAUAGCUAAUAUAUACUUUGUUACAACGUGGACUUUGUGAGCAUUAUUACUUCAUAUUAGAAAAAGUGAAAAAAGAUACAAAUAAAUAAAGAAU
rnacentral:lncRNA from 1 species